rnacentral:rRNA from 1 species
GACGAACGCUGGCGGCGUGCCUAAUACAUGCAAGUUGAGCGCUGAAGGUUGGUACUUGUACCAACUGGAUGAGCAGCGAACGGGUGAGUAACGCGUGGGGAAUCUGCCUUUGAGCGGGGGACAACAUUUGGAAACGAAUGCUAAUACCGCAUAAAAACUUUAAACACAAGUUUUAAGUUUGAAAGAUGCAAUUGCAUCACUCAAAGAUGAUCCCGCGUUGUAUUAGCUAGUUGGUGAGGUAAAGGCUCACCAAGGCGAUGAUACAUAGCCGACCUGAGAGGGUGAUCGGCCACAUUGGGACUGAGACACGGUCCAAACUCCUACGGGAGGCAGCAGUAGGGAAUCUUCGGCAAUGGACGAAAGUCUGACCGAGCAACGCCGCGUGAGUGAAGAAGGUUUUCGGAUCGUAAAACUCUGUUGGUAGAGAAGAACGUUGGUGAGAGUGGAAAGCUCAUCAAGUGACGGUAACUACCCAGAAAGGGACGGCUAACUACGUG